CUGGGGCUUGUCGGCCUACGUCGGCUUCAAAGGGUUGCGCCGUGGCCGGCAAGUGAAGCCUGGAGCGCCUCCAAAAUGACAGUAUCACGUGAUCCGCAAGGAGCUGACGGUGCUGGUUGUGGAUUCCGCCGCCACGUCACCAGCGAGCUGCAUCAACACGUUGGUCGCCAUGGCCGGAGGAAUCCCCAAUCCCUCACCCACCACCCUCUCCUCCGCAUCUCUAACCGGCAAUAUCCGUGUGGAGCGGCAGGCUUCCGGUAAGAUCUGUCGGGAGACGCAUCCAUCUGUGGGGAGUAGCUGGACGAUGGCGAGGUCUGCACGUCACUGCCGUCUUCCAAGAAGAGCUCGCAGAAGAGGAGAAGAAUUGAUGCUGCUGAAGGGCAGAUGAGAUGUGCUGCUGAUGGCAGGUGAGGUGCUCCUGCAGAUCUCGAGGGAGAUUACCUCUGUCCUUGCUUCAGUAGAACACCUGAUUCGACUAUUAGGAGAAGAUUUCAUACUAGUACAUGAUCUGAUUCGAGUUUCUUUGUGUGCCAAGUGUUUCACCAUGGCUGGCAAGGGCAGCCUGGAACGUCUCCAAAAUGAGUAGUACUAUGUGAUCUGCAACGAGUUGUCGGUGCUGAUUGUGGGCCGCCCGCUUGCCCAGCAACAUGUUGGAGUGGUGUAGUAGGUUGUCCUAUUGUUAUAUACAAAUAAGGGGACUGCACUUUGUCUCUUGGCUGCAAUGGUGUGGAAAUGACAGUGCAGGGACAGGGAACCCAGCGGCAAGUUUUUUCGCCUCAAGGGCAGCCUGUAACGUCCUCCAGAAGGAGUAGCACAUAGCAUGUGAUCUGCAAGGCGAGUUGCCUAUUAGUUUAUGUUCGGUGUGGUUCGGUUCCAUUGAUAUUACAAUGUUCAUAUGAGCCACGGUUGGGUUGCAGGAGCCGCCGGUGCUGAUUGUGGCUCGCCCACUUGCCUAGCGACAUGUUGUAGUGGUGUAGUUUGUGCAGUUGGGCUAUUCAUGGGAGCUGUCAUGGGCUGCCUGAUCAUCCUAGCCAUGGAUAGCGGUGUUGACUUCAUGUGUUUGGAUUAUUGGAAACUGGUCGUGUAAAGUUGUUGGUACAGAUGUUUGACACUUCACAUUACGUUGUUGGAGAAGAGUGCGAUCCCAAGGAACCAUCAGCUUGGCCAGGGGCUAAAUGGAGCUGGCCAGGUGAGGUAGCCAUGGCCGCUUGAUCAUGCCAUCCGAUAGCCUGUGGGUUUAGGAAAUUACUGAAACCACACAAGCAGAGAUGAAGUUUUUCAGAAUUGAUUGGAUCGGUCAAUCAGAGCACCCAUGUUCCACUCCGUAGUCAGUUCUUUGGCGGCGUUCUGCUCUUGUUGCCAGAGAGGAUGCCGCCAUCCUGCUGCUCGGCCGUGGAUGACCAGGACUUCAACGAGCAUGUGGUGUCUAGGUUGGACACGCUUUCUGAUAUCACCAACAAGUACGCCAUCUAGGUAUUCUCUCCAAUCCUAUUCGUUUGUUUGGUAUGGUUCCUCAAUGCAGAUGGUGAUAUGUGUGCAUUAUUAUUUCUUGGCAAAUGUGAGACAUGUUUUAGGGGAUUCUGUCACUGUUCUGCUAUUGAUCUUAGUUUGCUCGACUAGUAAUAAAUAAAGUGGUUCGUGAUAUUAUUUCCUUAUUACACUGCCUUUUUUUUGGCAAUAACCCGAAUUGGAUUCUAGAGGCCAAAUAGACUAUCAUGAAUUGAUUUUUCCUGUCAUUUGGUGUACUUGAAUUGAUGCAGCUCCGGGUUUGGCGAUUUCGAAUACUGUUAUGAACCUAUUUUGCUAACCUGAUAAGCAAAUUGUGAAGUUUGUACUAGUCUUGGUUUUCAGCCACCUACUCUGUUUUCUUGCUUAUAAAAUUGCUAACAUUUGCUGUAGUUGAAUUCUGGUUAUCAUUUUGUGCACCUGAAAUGUACUUGAAGUCUAUACUAUUUUUCCAAGGACCUAGCAUAGCAGGUGCCACCAACAGCUUACCAACCAUUGAAAUCCUGUUAUCGUUUUCUUUUUAGCUGUUGCGUGCUCUGUUUUCUUGCUGUAUUGCUAUAGUGCAUCAGGUUUAUAUUUUCGUGGAUACAAAUGCUCUAGUGGCUGCAGGUUUUUGUUUAAUAAUUUGUAUUGUUACAGUGCAUCAGGUUGAUAUUUUCGUGGAUACAGUGCUCCAAUGGUUGCAGGUUUGCCAGAAUUUCAGUUUGUAAACCUAGUGAUCAAAUACAUCUUAAUACUUCAGGCCUUCUCCUGAGAGAUGAAUGCAAGAAAUUAGCUGCUAGGGAUGGUUUCUUGUACUCGAGGCGUACCAUUGGAGGGGUUCAAUUUUUAACUUGAUCUGCUCCGAAAACUACCCAGGGUUGCUAAGAGCAAUUGGCAUGUUGUUUUUUAAAUGCUAGUUAGGCAGCCAAGUGUAUUUUAAAAUAAAGCUACUACUGAUUCAUGUUGUGGUCAAUCGGGAUUCGAGAUAUUCUUACUUGUUCAUGGUACUUAGAAAACUAGUUGCUCAUGGUAUAUAGCAGACAUAUAGUAGAUAAAUUUCAGCAAAAGGCUCAGUUUGUGUUUUGCAAGUUUUGGACAACAAAAAUGAUGUCAAAUACAAGUGAAAAUCCAUCUUGCAGUCACUCCGAUCCUUUCUAACAAAUUGACGCUGAACCUUUUUUUCCAGGUUGGCGGUAGGACCGUAGGAUCUAUGUACAUGCAUUGAAAGGCUGCAACCUGAAGCGCGCGUGGCGGCGACGAAUGCCUGAAGUGAGAAUGCCAAGCUCGUGCAAGAGCUAAGCUGCCCCCGACCUGUAUCUCAAGAGUGUGGCGCUUCGCUUGUUCACAAUUAAAUAUUUGAGGACUGUGUCGAGGAUAUGGGAUGGUGUUGCCCCUAUCUUAGCCUCGGUAGGGUCAAGCUUGCUGAUCGAGGAUUUCUUGUACCCAAAGCUGCUUAUAAUUAACCUUGAAUUAGCUUAGCUAAUGCAAUAUAUUUUUGUUAGAGAAUUUUGCUCUUUUGUGUGUGAAAAAACAAAGAGGAAGUUUUGUAUACAUGCAUGUUUGUGCAAGAGGUCCUUGAUCGAGUGUGACCCAAGCAUCCUAUUCAGCUAUAGAGGCGAGUCCGUUGUUGCAAC